AACGAACGCUGGCGGCAUGCCUAACACAUGCAAGUCGAACGAGACCUUCGGGUCUAGUGGCGCACGGGUGCGUAACGCGUGGGAACCUGCCCUUAGGUUCGGAAUAACUCCCCGAAAGGGGUGCUAAUACCGGAUAAUGUCUUCGGACCAAAGAUUUAUCGCCUUUGGAUGGGCCCGCGUUGGAUUAGCUAGUUGGUAGGGUAAAAGCCUACCAAGGCGACGAUCCAUAGCUGGUCUGAGAGGAUGAUCAGCCACACUGGGACUGAGACACGGCCCAGACGCCUGCGGGAGGCAGCAGUGGGGAAUAUUGGACAAUGGGCGAAAGCCUGAUACAGCAAUGCCGCGUGAGUGAUGAAGGCCUUAGGGUUGUAAAGCUCUUUUACCCGGGAUGAUAAUGACAGUACCGGGAGAAUAAGCGCCGGCUAACUCCGUG
rnacentral:rRNA from 1 species